GUCUUCUUGUUAUAUUUAGGAAGUCUGGCCUGCCCAGUGAAAGUUAAUUUAACGGCCGCGGUAUACUGACCGUGCAAAGGUAGCAUAAUCAUUAGUCUUUUAAUAGAGGGCUGGUAUGAAGGGUUUAACGAGGUGUUGACUGUCUCAUUUAAUUUGAAUAUUAGAAUUUAAUUUUUUAGUUAAAAAGCUAAAAUAUUAUUGGAAGACGAGAAGACCCUAUAGAGCUUUAUAUUUUUAUUAUUAAUUUAUUAUAGAUUAUUAUUAUUUAUUAUUAAUAAAAAGUAUUUUGUUGGGGUGACAAAAAUAUAUAAUCAACUUUUUUAUUUUAUUUACAUUGAUACAUGAAUAUUAGAUCCAAUCUUAUUGAUUGUUAGAUUAAGUUACCUUAGGGAUAACAGCGUAAUCCCUCUCCAGAGUUCAUAUUUACAGAGGGGCUUGCGACCUCGAUGUUGGAUUAAGAUAAUAAUUAGGUGCAGCCGCUUAAUUAAUAGGUCUGUUCGACCUUUAAAUUCUU
rnacentral:rRNA from 1 species